rnacentral:rRNA from 1 species
AACGCUAGCUACAGGCUUAACACAUGCAAGUUCGAGGGGCAGCCAUUUUAGUUUGCUUGCAAACUGAAGAAGGCGACCGGCGCCACGGGUGAGUAACACGUAUCCAACCUGUCGAUAACUCCGGAAUAGCCUUUCGAAAGAAAGAUUAAUACCGGAUAGCAUACGAAUAUCGCAUGAUAUUUUUAUUAAAGAAUUUCGGUUAUCGAUGGGGAUGCGUUCCAUUAGUUUGUUGGCGGGGUAACGGCCCACCAAGACUACGAUGGAUAGGGGUUCUGAGAGGAAGGUCCCCCACAUUGGAACUGAGACACGGUCCAAACUCCUACGGGAGGCAGCAGUGAGGAAUAUUGGUCAAUGGGCGAGAGCCUGAACCAGCCAAGUAGCGUGAAGGAUGAAGGCUCUAUGGGUCGUAAACUUCUUUUAUAUGGGAAUAAAGUUUUCCACGUGUGGAAUUUUGUAUGUACCAUAUGAAUAAGGAUCGGCUAACUCCGUGCCAGCAGCCGCGGUAAUACGGAGGAUUCCGAGCGUUAUCCGGAUUUAUUGGGUUUAAAGGGAGCGUAGGUGGAUUGUUAAGUCAGUUGUGAAAGUUUGCGGCUCAACCGUAAAAUUGCAGUUGAAACUGGCAGUCUUGAGUACAGUAGAGGUGGGCGGAAUUCGUGGUGUAGCGGUGAAAUGCUUAGAUAUCACGAAGAACUCCGAUUGCGAAGGCAGCUCACUAGACUGUCACUGACACUGAUGCUCGAAAGUGUGGGUAUCAAACAGGAUUAGAUACCCUGGUAGUCCACACAGUAAACGAUGAAUACUCGCUGUUUGCGAUAUACAGUAAGCGGCCAAGCGAAAGCAUUAAGUAUUCCACCUGGGGAGUACGCCGGCAACGGUGAAACUCAAAGGAAUUGACGGGGGCCCGCACAAGCGGAGGAACAUGUGGUUUAAUUCGAUGAUACGCGAGGAACCUUACCCGGGCUUAAAUUGCAACAGAAUAUAUUGGAAACAGUAUAGCCGUAAGGCUGUUGUGAAGGUGCUGCAUGGUUGUCGUCAGCUCGUGCCGUGAGGUGUCGGCUUAAGUGCCAUAACGAGCGCAACCCUUAUCUUUAGUUACUAACAGGUUAUGCUGAGGACUCUAGAGAGACUGCCGUCGUAAGAUGUGAGGAAGGUGGGGAUGACGUCAAAUCAGCACGGCCCUUACGUCCGGGGCUACACACGUGUUACAAUGGGGGGUACAGAAGGCGGCUACCUGGUGACAGGAUGCUAAUCCCAAAAACCUCUCUCAGUUCGGAUCGAAGUCUGCAACCCGACUUCGUGAAGCUGGAUUCGCUAGUAAUCGCGCAUCAGCCAUGGCGCGGUGAAUACGUUCCCGGGCCU